GGGCCUGUAGUUUAAUGGAUAAAACCUCCGGUUUCGGCCCGGUGGAUCGAGGUUCGAUUCCUCGCAGGCUCG
rnacentral:tRNA from 1 species